AAUGUGCAUUUACCAUAUGAAAUUUGACAUGCUCAAAAAUGCAAAAUUGACUGGUCUGAUGGACACAGGAUGGCCGAGCAGUGAUAGUUGUACAUUUCCAUCACUCGUUGUGUUGAUUUCAUCAUGUCCAUUAGGUGAUGUUUUUUUCACUAUAGAAUCAUAUUGCAAAUGCACGUGCAUUGUUGUGCAACUGGUAACCCAAAAAUAAAAAUAUGGUUGUAAAUGCAUUUACCGGUCAUUCUGAUAUUAAUGCUCGCUAUGGGAACACAGGAUGGCCGGGCAGUGAUAGUUGUACAUUUCCAUCACUCGUUGUGUUGAUUUCAUCAUGUCCAUUAGGUGAUGUUUUUACACUAUAGAAUCAUAUUGCAAAUGCACGUGCAUUGUUGUGCAACUGGUAACCCAAAAAUAAAAAUAUGGUUGUAAAUGCAUUUACCGGUCAUUCUGAUAUUAAUGCUCGCUAUGGGAACACAGGAUGGCCGGGCAGUGAUAGUUGUACAUUUCCAUCACUCGUUGUGUUGAUUUCAUCAUGUCCAUUAGGUGAUGUUUUUACACUAUAGAAUCAUAUUGCAAAUGCACGUGCAUUGUUGUGCAACUGGUAACCCAAAAAUAAAAAUAUGGUUGUAAAUGCA